UCUGGAGGACGCCCCUCCUCCUUGGUCCUGAACUUCGGCCUCUACCGGAAGGGGAGGCCCACGAGUGCCCACUGUCGUCAUAGAAUUCUGACUCCCCGUCACAAUGGGGGAGGGCCGCAGGGGUCCCUGAGGGUUCCUGCCCAGGCCCCCCGCAGCCGUCCCCACUGGCCCCCGCUGAGGAAGCCCCAUUGUUGGGUCAGACAAGUGCGGACAGGACAGCCUUGAGAUAAAGGCCAAUUUUGUACCCUCUAAGCCCUUGAACUGGUGCCCUUCGGGUUGAAUGUCCCCCUGGUAACCAUCUGUCCCAACUUCCUAGUUUUGGGAGAAGUGAAUUGAACCUCGUCGGGAGAUGGCCGCCGCCUCCUCAGUGGAAUCGUUGCCCCCAGCCCCCCCGGCCUCCCUCCCUGUCCCAGCCCAGACUCUGCUCACCUUACCGCACACCCCAAGGCCCCGAGGAAGCAACAGUCACGACCUGCGAGGAGAGAAAGCGAUGGGAUCACAGGCACCCUGGAGGAACACUUUCAUACAUGGGUCUGCCCAUGGCCGCCCGCGAUGCCCUCACAGCACUCAGAUGUGAACACACAGGCGUUCUUCCAUUUGUCAUUCCACCAAAUGAAAUGUUCCAUCUUCACAUUCACGUCCACAAACCCUGGACAACUUAACCUGUGUGGAGGAAGUCCAUCCAUCUGAGAAAUUCUCCGGCAUCUGAACUAUAAAACACAUUUUAUCUCUCUGAA